rnacentral:rRNA from 1 species
CACUAAACCUAAAGGCGUAAUGAAAGUAAAAGUUCGUCUCGCGCGAACAGAGGGAAGACGGUCGAUCCCUUCGGAUCGUCCCGCAUUCCCGGGGCGUCUCAUUCUCAUUGCGAGAGGAGGCGCACCAAGAGCGUACACGCUGGGACCCGAAAGAUGGUGAACUAUGCCUGGUCAGGACGAAGUCAGGGGAAACCCUGAUGGAGGUCCGUAGCGAUUCUGACGUGCAAAUCGAUCGUCGGAACUGGGUAUAGGGGCGAAAGACUAAUCGAACCAUCUAGUAGCUGGUUCCCUCCGA